ensembl:snoRNA LOC120099495 small nucleolar RNA SNORA17
CCUGCCCCUAGAGGCAUUGCAGGGGGGACUGCUAUGUCACAUGUGCUUCAGUAGGAAGCAACAAGGAGAAAGGGUAUGCCUACUUUCAACAUCCUGACCUAUGAACAUCUGAAUGAUUAGUACCCUAAUAUU